rfam:Schistosoma haematobium scaffold142_2, whole genome shotgun sequence.
AUCCAUCUGACGAGUCCCAAAUAGGACGAAAAGCGCGUCCUGGAU